CGGGUGUCUGCUAGGUCCCAAGGCAGGGGAACAGGAGCAGCCUGACGCAGCUGCAGAGGAAGCUUCCAAGUGCAGCAGCCCCUGAAGGAGGCAGAGCUGACCCUGAAGCCUAAAGACAGGAACUGUCCAGGAGAAGGAGCUGCGAAGAGAAGGAAGGUGCAGCUGUGUGCGUGGCUGUGAAGAAAGAAAAGAAAAAAGAAAAGGAGCCUGGCCAAGGAUUAACUCAUCAUUUGGAAGAUGUGAAUACAGAGCAGUGAAAGAGGAGAAGGAUAGGAAGGCAGAAGCCAUGCAGACCACACACUGCAUUAAUGGCAUCGCAUCCCAAGGAGCUGCAGAGGAGCAGCGGGGGCUCCACCUGGUCAACGAGAAGCGCACUAUGGUGCACCCCAAUGCAGCAGGAUACAGGGGUAAUUGACUUGCUAGGCUUCCUCUGCUUCUCAACUCACGCCAAGGAAAAAUUCACCUCCUAGAGUCAUUACAAGGCCCUUGGGAGUUGAGUCCUCUGGCUAACGGUUGUACAAAAUGCCAGAUCCCUCGCUCCAAGGCAUGGUGUCAUUUCAUUCCAUCUAGAAGUGGUGGAAAAAAACAGAACUUGCUGGGUUCAACUAAUCAACCUGGCCAUAGUAAUGGAAGGGCGGGGCUGUACUUCUGACUGGGAGCCACAGUGGUCUGAGGAGUCAAGCAGCCAAGAGCAGUGGAAGUGGUACAUGAGAUCAUACUCAGAACACAUGGGCAAUAGUACAUGGGAUCAUACUCAGAACACAUGGGCAAUAGUACAUGAGAUCAUACUCAGAACACAUGUGCAAUAGUACAUGGGAUCAUACUCAGAACACAUGGGCAAUAGUACAUGGGAUCAUACUCAGAACACAUGGGCUAGUACAUGGGAUCAUACUCAGAACACAUGGGCAAUAGUACAUGAGAUCAUACUCAGAACACAUGGGCAACUCCUUCAUUUCACUCAUGGGAGAAGCAAAUUUCAGUGAUGUUAUGGUGUGUCUAGUACCCUGAACUUCACCAGUGUCAUGACCUGGACAUGGAUAUAAGUUUGGUGGGUGUGAGCUUCAUAUUUCUUUUUUUCCCUUCUAAAUCAAGGGCUCUGAUUAUGCAAUGGAUGAGAUAUUGUGUUUCGAUAAAAUCGAUACCUGGCAUCACUUGGUAGGUGUAGAGUAACGUUCCGUUCUGGCAGUUGGAAUUUCCCACAAUCUUUUUGAGUUUAAAGGGAGUACAGGAACAGUACGAAUUUCCUAGGAUUAUUGUAAGGUCUCUGAAGACUUGGCCCAGUGUCUGGCUCAAUGAAUCUUAAAAAGAACUCUGAUUUAAUGGUAUUCUAAUAAGUUUUCUCUGACUCAGUAUAACUUCUCGUGCCUCUGUCAAUGUAUUCACAUCCUGCCCAUCACACCUGUCAUCCACCCUCCAGCACCUGUCCACCAUCAUCUGCCCACCACACAUCCACAUGUGUAUUGUGGUACAUGUUCAACGAUAUGGCAGAGUUUUCUUUUAUUAAGCAGGGGACUUCACUGAUGUACUUUAUUCAGUUGUUAAACACAAACAAAUGUGAUUUUAAACAAUUCCUCUCCCUGAUGAGAGAAAAAAAUGUAAGUUCCAAGAUCAAUCAGGAAAAGCAUGUUUUCAGUGUCAAAGAUACAAAAGCAGUUCUACUUGUCUCCAUUGGCCUUGCAUGGGUAUGCACGCUUUUCUUUAUCUAUAAUGAACCAGAGUCAUUCAGAACUGAAAUGCCUUCCCCACUGCAGACUUUAUCUUGAGAAUUUCCUGGACAGAAUGAGAGGAAUCAGAGAAAGAAAAGGGGAUUGACUUCUCAGGCAGAUGCAGCGUGAGGCCUGUUGAGAGAUGAUAUUGAGUGGAUGGUUCUACAGAGACCUGCCAAAAAUAAGAUUGGAGGUAGCAGGGAUGGACCAGGCUCAGCCAGACAAUCAUAGUGCAUUGCUGGCUGGUGUGAAAUUGUUCCCCAGGACAUGCUUUUCAGUUAUUUGUCCGGAUUUCUAUGAUCUUAACAGAAUGCUCCCAGGCAGAAAAUAGUUUGACUUUUCCAAGUUCCGACUUAAUUCUGCCUCGUUAAUUCCUUCGUAGGCUGUGUGGACCCCAGAGGGAAACACACUUAUCUAGCUGCCUGGGUUGGUGCCUGAUUCCCCAGAAUGGCCCGAGGAGCUGAGCUGCAGGAAGCCUAAGGCUGAGCAGAGAUUUCACUUCUCCUGGGUGCCUCAAUUUUGGAAAACUUCAAAGCUGUGCAGAUGGCAUCUCCCAGGACAGGCCAUCAGCUCUGGUCCACUCAGGAGCCGGCAGCUGGGGGAUGAGGGAUGGCACAGGCAGAGGGACAGCUUCUAGUAGCUGUGUGGAGAGGCUGCCCUGACCACCAGCCCUCCUCCACCCAUCUUCACAGGCAUCUUCCUAUCUCACAUAACAUUCCUAAAAUAUUUAUUUGCCAAAAAAUAUGUUUGAUUAAUUUGAUUGAAGAGACAGAAACUGGAAACCUGCGCUCACCCCAAAGUCAUGAGAAGCCCAGCUUGGCCAUCAGCACACCUAGGCAGCACAUCUCCAUGCUGAGGGGGAAGGGUGCAGUUUUGCAGCCACAGGCUUGGUUUCCAUGCUCUGAUCUGCCCUUCAGUAGCUGGGCGACCUCAGGAACUUUCUCAACUCCAGUAUUGUGGACUACAAAAUGGCAUCCCAGUGGUCCCCGCCUUAGGUUGUCAGGAUUAAGGGCAUUGGUAUUGGUGACUGCUUAGAACAGCAUCUGGGGCAUGGUGAGUGCAUAGUGGACAUUUAUUAUUGUUAGCAAAAGGGGACCAGGAUUUAAGAUCUGGCUCACAGUUAUAAGGCAGGUUAUCACCCUGGUGAGUGUAUUCGUCUGUCUGUCCAGUACUCAACUUCUUUACUUUCCUCUUUGCAGGGCUCUCAAAUAUCCUUUGGGAAAAUGCUUUCAAAUACUUCCCACUGCACGGCAGUGAAGCACAAUCACAGAUCACACUGGCUUUAAACUCACAUCAGGAAUAUGGCUCAUUAAGUGAACUUGUUAAAAGUAAAUUGCAAAAAAAAAAAAAAAAAA